GAUGAACGCUGGCGGCGUGCUUAACACAUGCAAGUCGAACGAUGAAGCCCAGCUUGCUGGGUGGAUUAGUGGCGAACGGGUGAGUAACACGUGAGUAACCUGCCCUUGACUCUGGGAUAAGCCUGGGAAACUGGGUCUAAUACUGGAUAUGACUUCUCAUCGCAUGGUGGGGGGUGGAAAGAUUUAUUGGUCUUGGAUGGACUCGCGGCCUAUCAGCUUGUUGGUGAGGUAAUGGCUCACCAAGGCGACGACGGGUAGCCGGCCUGAGAGGGUGACCGGCCACACUGGGACUGAGACGCGGCCCAGACUCCUACGGAAGGCAGCAGUGGGGAAUAUUGCACAAUGGGCGCAAGCCUGAUGCAGCGACGCCGCGUGAGGGAUGACGGCCUUCGGGUUGUAAACCUCUUUCAGUAGGGAAGAAGCGAGAGUGACGGUACCUGCAGAAGAAGCGCCGGCUAACUACGUG
rnacentral:rRNA from 1 species